rnacentral:rRNA from 1 species
AGUGAACGCUGGCGGUAGGCCUAACACAUGCAAGUCGAACGGCAGCACAGUAAGAGCUUGCUCUUACGGGUGGCGAGUGGCGGACGGGUGAGGAAUACAUCGGAAUCUACUUUUUCGUGGGGGAUAACGUAGGGAAACUUACGCUAAUACCGCAUACGACCUACGGGUGAAAGCAGGGGAUCUUCGGACCUUGCGCGAUUGAAUGAGCCGAUGUCGGAUUAGCUAGUUGGCGGGGUAAAGGCCCACCAAGGCGACGAUCCGUAGCUGGUCUGAGAGGAUGAUCAGCCACCCUGGAACUGAGAAACGGCCCAGACUCCUACGGGAGGCAGCAGUGGGGAAUAUUGGACAAGGGGCGCAAGCCUGAUCCAGCCAUACCGCGUGGGUGAAGAAGGCCUUCGGGUUGUAAAGCCCUUUUGUUGGGAAAGAAAAGCAGCAGGUUAAUACCCCGCUGUUCUGACGGUACCAAAAGAAUAAGCACCGGCUAACUUCGU